CAGCAAAAAAAAAUUUAUUUUCUCAUUUAUUGGAAUGCUGUGCAGGUAUUUGUACCUUGCAGCCAUCCAUUACAAUGUCACCAAGCCGUAACAAAAGCAGGAGAGGGAAAGUACAAGGCUAUGUUCCCAAAACACACAAGUGACAUACCUUAUGUGGAGGAUGUGAUCAGGCUUGUGUUUGAUGAGGUAUUUGAAGAUAAGCUGAAGGAAGCCCUGAUUCCAAUGGACCUGGCAUCACAGUUUGAGAGACCUUCAAAGGAGGACGUGAUUGCAUGCCAUCUUCAGUGCAG